CAUCGAGUCAGGUGGAAACAGUUUCGGUGGAGAUGCUUUAAAACUAGACUGAACAAAGCAGGAGAGAACUGAGCAAGGUGGUUGAUGAAUGCAUUUAUUCCGGAGUAAUGAUUUGAUGGGGGAUGGAGGAAAGAAACAUUCAAAUUCCUAAUGAAUAUAAUUCAGAAGGAAUCAUUCGACCAGCAUGUUAGAGAAAAUCUGUUCUGGUGGGAGUGUUUCUGCACUGGCAGAGCCCAGUAGGUAUUUCUGUCCCUGGCUUUUGUGAUUGCAGUAGGUGACUAUAUAAAGAGGGGAUCUGAGGAAAAAAAAUAUAUGCACGCAUAUAAUAAAUGUAUUUGUGUGUGUAUAUAAAUAUAUAUAGGUAUAAUUUUAGAAAAUAAAAUACAAGUGUGGAAAUCAGCAUCUACAUGUGAACUUUUAUGAAGCAUCCAAUGCAAGCUUUUCCAUCUCGCUAUAGGAUCAGCUGUUCAGAAACAGCCCUACACUCCCAAUUUUUUUCCCCCAACAUCACAUGUUCAGAGCUGAUUUUUCAUGUAUCUUUUCAGGCAGUAGGGUUGGCUUGCUUAUCCCAAAGAAGUCCCCCCAUGACGGGAUUGAGAUGAGGAGUUUUACUUGCACAUCUGGAGAAAGGGACUGAGCUGCUUGCCCCAUCUUUUCUGGGAGAGGGAAGCCGUGGUUGAAUUCUGCUCGUGCUUAAUUCUUUACUUUCGCUCUUGGUGUCUGUGCAAACACAGGCAGGCGGGUGCCUGGGGGAGCCGUGGAGGCAGCCCCUUCCCGAUUAACGAGGAGGCUGGGGAAUGGCGGUGAUUAACAGGGUACAGUGGCACCAGCCACACCAGUUUGUGUGCAGGGGUGGAGGGCAAAGAGGUAUAUAAAACCCCGCUAACCCCCCGGUAAACCCAUGCUCGUGAUGUACCUGCUGCAUUUAGACAGUCCCUCCCUACCUGGCAUCGCUUCUUCGCUUUGUGUCUUUUUUUUAAGUGCUCUGGAGGGACGAGGGUCACGCGGGGCAGGGGCUCUGCUUUUGGGCCGGGGAUGGGAUGUGGCUAGCUGUACCAGAGCUGUGAUAACCCRGUGGCCCACCUGGCUCUGCCAGAGGCUUAACCCUCUGCCCUGUUUGURUAGCUAUCGGCUUCAGCUGGGUCUCUUCUCCCAUGCAGCCCAAAGCCAGGAGAGAAGGUGUCUCCUAAGGCUCUUUGCCCGCGCGGUGCCGGGCCGGAGCGCCGGGGCCCGGGAGCCCAGAGCGAGCGCUGCCGGCAUCGCGGGGGGCUUCUCGGCGGGGCUCCCUCCCGGUCGAGCGGUAGCACGCAGGGCCGGCAGCACGUGGGCAAGGUUGCUCGAGCUGGGCCUUCAUGUCUUUGUUCUUCCAGCAGCGCUGGGAUGGGCAACUGGGAGCAGGCAGAGGCAGAAAUGUGAGAAGCCGCAUGGGCAGGAAGGGGACACGACUACGCGUUUGUGGAGUGGGAUGCCUUGGGAAGGGCAGGGACGUCUCCACCUGAACAAGGAGAGAUCCCAGUGAGAGGAGAAGGGACCUUUCAAGCCUUGGAGUUCCUUGUCACUGUUGGUUACCACCUGCCUGGACUUGCUGUCUGACAUCUCCAAGCCUUGCCAGGAGGGAGGGUCCAACCUGCUUCUCCGAUGGCCCCAGAGAAGAGGUGGCUUUUGCUCAUGAACACAGAGGGUUUCUGCAUUGCUUCAAAUCCCCUCGGUCCACCCUUGCGGAGGGAGCCAGGGAAACCCAGGAAGCCAGGAGAAAAUCCCAUGUAACUCCUGUAUGUUGUGUCURUCUUUGGUGCCCUAAAUACCUCUGGGCAAGAUUGUCCUGCUUGGGCAGAGAGAUCUAAGCAAGCCACUGUCUCAACUGGCAAAACACUGUGUGCAGGAAGGUUAGAGGGAGCAGCAGGACAAUCCGAGCUGGCGGAGUAGUUUUGUAGCACCGGGGAACAUGCAGGUUGGGCUUUGAGCAUGGAGYGCAGCCAUCCUGGUGGGGCUGUGUGUGUAGAGCCUGCAGGACUGCACAUCUCUCUGGGCCGGACAGUCCUGCUGCUCUUUCAUUGCCCUUGUCUCUGUUCUUGUAAGAGAAAUGUACUGGCUGUAAUUCCCUUCCAUUAAAAUCGACCCCCACCCAAUGCACUGCUGAAAAUAAACACUCUGUUUUAUGAAAAUGAGCCGUGUGA
rnacentral:lncRNA from 1 species